UGUGAAGCCAUCCUCUUUUGCUAACACUUGUGCCAUGGGGAAUCAUAUCUACCUUCUGAACGAACUCUCCUGAGUGAUGCUGACCCCAGAUCGGCAUUGCUUCAGGAUGGUGCGGGAGAGCAGAAGGCUCACACUGACCCAGCCAUGCAUGCUUGGUCACUGAGUUCAUAGGAGUAGCCACACGGGAGCUCCCUGCUGGCUGUGGAGAGGACGCCUACCUCUGCAGAUUUCUUCUCUCUAAAUCCCUGUGACUACUCUGGGGACUCGGAGAACUGUAUUCCACUCUAUUGUUGCCGCAGAGAAUGUGUGGAAGAACAUUCUGAAAGCUUUU
ensembl:antisense Gm14170 predicted gene 14170